UACGUAGGGUGCAAGCGUUGUCCGGAAUUAUUGGGCGUAAAGAGCUCGUAGGCGGUCUGUCGCGUCUGCUGUGAAAAUCCAGGGCUCAACCCUGGACCUGCAGUGGGUACGGGCAGGCUAGAGUGCGGUAGGGGAGAUCGGAAUUCCUGGUGUAGCGGUGAAAUGCGCAGAUAUCAGGAGGAACACCGGUGGCGAAGGCGGGUCUCUGGGCCGAUACUGACGCUGAGGAGCGAAAGCGUGGGGAGCAAACAGG
rnacentral:rRNA from 1 species